GGUUGUUGAUAACUGGUGUUUGUUCAGCUAAUUUCAUUAUUUCUUUUAUAGCCAUUAUUGUGUUAUCAUGGUCUUUGAUGUGAACAAAAGCAAACUGUUAUUUUUACAACAUCCAGUAAAAAUACCCAUAUUGUAAAUCUCACGGGUACUACUGCUCUAAUGUUUGGUCAAGAAUGCAUCUAGUGGAUAAUCAAACUAGUGGUUUCACUCAAUUGAUUUUUGCAUAUAUAGGUAGGAGUACCUAGAGAUUGAGCUGGAGACAGUGGAGGCGCUGACCUCUGUGUGGAACACGUAGAAGCUGGCAAGUUUUCAUAUUGAAGGGCAUGGUUCCCAACCGCCCAUCACACACAGAAUGUAGCUUGUCGUCUUCCGCAGUAAAAACUGGGUGCUGGAAGAUGCUUACUGCUAUAUUGACUGCUUCCGAGCGCUUCCUGAACCUAAAAAUUAUCUCCCAGCAGCAACCUCCCCAAGGUGUGACGAGAGUCUUCAAGUGUUCCAGACGGCUGGUGAUGCAUUUCAAGAAAAGCCAUCAGAAUCUUGCAAUGAUCUGUAUACUUAUAAAUGACAAAACAACAACACUGUAUUGUUAUUAUUUUUUAAUACAUAACUUCCAUAUUUGCCAAAAAGGUAUAUGAUGG